rnacentral:lncRNA from 1 species
CAUCCCAUGAUGCAACGCGGUAAUGCUAACUUUUGCAAUACACAUGAUAAACAACAGCAGUGGUUUCCGGCAACUCCAGCCCCAGCAGCGAAUAUAAAUGGUCUUCAAGAAGAUUGAUCUCCGCUGACUCGGUGUCAUCCCUAAGGCCGUGUCCACACGCUGUAACACUGCUACAGACAACUGAAGAAAACGGAGACGAAGAAGUAUACAAACUGCAGAAGAAGACAACAACAACAACAAAAAGAAGAUGGUGAACGCAAAGGAAAGCUCCAAGACCAAAGCCAAUCAAUUGGUGUGGACAAACAGCGAGGUGAAACUCCUGUUGCGAGUCACUCUAGACUACAAAUCAAAUAAGCUACAGGAGGGUGUCGACUGGGAGUCCUGCAAGUGGAAGUACGAGGACAUAAAGGGCCUGUUUGAGGCGCAAUACCCGAAUAAAUCGACAGAGAAGGAUUUCCCUCACGACGUGAAAACAAUAUCAAGAAUACAGGUCCAAACCAAGUUGAAAAAUAUACGAAAGAACUACAGGAAGGCGGUGGUCGCUGGGCGUCGAAGUGGCAGUCGGGUGGUGCUCAAGUAUUUUGAGCUAUGUGAGCAGCUUUGGGGUGGCUCGCCUGCUACGCAAUGUAUCGACGCCGCCAUCGAGACGAGUGACCAGGAGGGCAUUGAGGACCUCGAAUACUCCUCUUCAGAGUCAGCGGAGACUGCUGAUUCUGAACCAACUGAAGCCAUACAAAAUCUCUCUCCUGCGGUUGUAAAGAAGCGCAGGGAUUUGCUCCAGGCAAAGCUGAACAACCACAGAGGGGACAGGCUAAAGAGGAAGGUUCCGGCUACCCCCCUCGAGCAGGAGGAUCUUCAAAUAAAGAGGCGGAUGUUGGCGUUAAUGGAGGAGAAUUCCAGACGCAACUCGGACAACAUUGCCCAAAUCAACACAAACAUUGGGCAAAUUACCAGCACUAUACAGGACGGCAUCUCCCUGAUGAGGGAGUUAUUACUCCAGCCCAAUGCAAGUAACUUUGCACACCCCCACAGCAGCAGCGUUGGGAAUGGGCAAUUCCAAGGGCACCCACCAGCUUUCAUGCAUACCACACCGCACCCCAGUACACCGGCCUUCCGGCACACACCUAGGCCUCAACAAGCAAAUACACACAAUCACAUGCCACCCCAAUAUCCACCAACACAUGCCGCCCCACAGCAGUCAUUUUCGUACGGAUGACCAUGCACUGUGCCUCGCUCUGUUGCACUGCACUGUUGCACUGGACUUUACACUUGUUAUUUUUUAUUUUUUUGUAUUGUAUAUAGUAAAAUCCUUUGUGUUUUAAAGUUUUAAUAUUUAGAUAGUUGAUUUUUUUUAAUUACCACUUAUCUGUCCUAAGGACAGUUAUUCUGAUAUUGCAUUUGCAUAUCCAAUAAAUAAAAAAAUACUAGAAGCUCA